rnacentral:rRNA from 1 species
AACGAACGCUGGCGGCAGGCCUAACAUAUGCAAGUCGAACGCACCGCAAGGUGAGUGGCGCACGGGUGAGUAACACGUGGGAAUGUACCCUUUGGUUCGGAAUAACGUCUGGAAACGGACGCUAAUACCGGAUGAGCCCUGCGGGGGAAAGAUUUAUCGCCAAAGGAGCAGCCCGCGUCUGAUUAGCUAGUUGGUGGGGUAAAGGCCUACCAAGGCGACGAUCAGUAGCUGGUCUGAGAGGAUGAUCAGCCACACUGGGACUGAGACACGGCCCAGACUCCUACGGGAGGCAGCAGUGGGGAAUAUUGGACAAUGGGCGAAAGCCUGAUCCAGCCAUGCCGCGUGAGUGAUGAAGGCCUUCGGGUUGUAAAGCUCUUUCGCUCGCGACGAUGAUGACGGUAGCGUGAGAAGAAGCCCCGGCUAACUUCGUGCCAGCAGCCGCAGUAAAAC